GUCAGAUACACUCACAUUCUACUCCUAAACUGGAAAAAGAAAAGCCGAGAGAAUGUGGCUAUGAAAACAAAGGCGCAGUUUUCCUUUCACACCUCCAUUUACAAAGAACAAGGAAGGACUACUGGCUGUUGUACUUCUGAAGAGGAGACAGUGAAGGGUACACAGCAAAGUUCAGAAGACGUUCCAUCCUGGCAAAUGAGUUCAUGAAGAUGGCUGGAUGAAUGGCAGGUUCAGUGAACAGUGUGAACAGCAAGACAAUUGGCAUCAGGAACAGGAUCAGUGUGACAACAGGGCAAACUAAAAUAAAAAUCAGUCACCAUCUUUGUGGAUAUUCUUCUUAAGCAGAGCUCAAAGAGUACCACAGAGCCAUUGAGCGCAUCUUCCCCAGGAUGAAGCUGCAUCACUAAGGAUUCCAGGCCAAGAACAGAGUGGAAGAGAAAAUCCUAUUGCUUCAGCCGGAGAAUUUCAAAGAAGAUCCAGCCCUCCCACUUUUCACCUAAGAGAAUGUGACCAUGUUGGAAAGCAACACAUAUAGACAAUAUUGGAUGGGCUUUUUUUCCAAGGGGCAAAGCACAUAGGAAAACAACUAUGGAAUCUAAAUGAAGAGAACUGACCAUGAAACUGUACCUUGGACCAAUUUACUGAGUGUUAAUUGGUUUAAAAAAUGUGUUUAGAGAGUUCAGAUUUGCCAAAGUAGUUAUCAACAUGGAAAGUGCCAUUUCAACCAAUAGUUAAAACUACUUAAUUAAGAAGAUGGAUUUCUCAGGUGUCUCAGUGGUAAAGAAUCCUCCUGCCAAAGCAGGAGACAUGGUUUGAUUCAUGGGUUGGCAAGAUCCCCUGGAGUAGAAAAUGGCAACCCACUUCAGAAUUUUUGCCUGAAACAUCCUAUGGACAGAGAAGCUUGGUGAGCUCCAUGGGACCCCAUGAGUCCAUGUGACUGCAGAGAGUCAGAAACAACUGAGCAUAAAUACAAUUAGGAAGAUAAAAUUUUCUUUGAUAAAAUUUUAAGAAAACUGGUUCAAAACAUAGUUUUUUGUAAUAUAUCUGAAUGUCUUACCUGAGUUAGAUACUUGGAUCAUGUGUCAAAAAAAUUAAAAGGCUAAACAUUCUGUUAGUACAUGGUGAUUCUAGAGCAUGUAUACUAAGAAUAGGAAAAGUAUAAUUAACUGUAGUGUUACUAUAAAGUAACUUGAUGUCUAAAUCACUAAUCUUUGUACUCAAGUUGUAUAUAAAGACUUGGCCAUGUUACCAAUAAUAUGUCUGAAUCCUCUCCUAUAUUUCCAACUGCCUGCUUGAUAUCAUCAUUUGACCAUCUGAUAAUAACCUGAGCUUAAUAUGUACCAAACCAUGUAAAUUACUCUUAUAGUCUUUCCGAUCUUAAUUAGCAACCAGUUCAGUCCUCAGGUCAAUAUAUCUUGCUAUCAUUCUUGAUGUCUUUCUUAUACCCCCAUAUAUUGUUCACGAGACAAUCUCAUCAGCUCUAUAUCUGAAAUAUAUUCCAGAUUUGACUACCUCUAACUACUCGCAUCUGCAUAUCUGAGGUUAUUGAUAUUUCUCCCGGCAAUCUUGAUUCCAGCUUGUGCUUUUU